GUUCUCUCAGGUGUGGCUAUUGGAGCUGGAUGGCAAGCCAUUGUGGCAUAUCUGAACAUAGCUUGUUACUAUGUGCUUGGGAUUCCUCUGGGUCUUGUAUUAGGCUACAAGCUUGAUAUGGGUGUUCGGGGGAUUUGGUAUGGAAUGAUGNACUGCGGUACAGACUCUUGCCCUUUUCUUGAUGAUUUAUAGAACAAAUUGGAACAAAGAGGCUUC
rnacentral:misc_RNA from 1 species